GAAGACUAGCAGGAUUUUUAUGCCUAGCAAAUGAGAAAAAGACUUUGAUGUCGAUGUACAUAUUACCUGUUCGCCGAAUAUUUUUAUCAGUCGUACGUGGAUGUUAGUCAAGGAAUUGAAUAUAACAGAAUCACCAUGCUGAACAUAAUUUGAGAUCUUCUCGAGAACUUGUUUGCAGAAUUCGUAGAGGAGAUACCAACGCCAAAAACAUGCUGCUAAACAUACUACAAACGAGGCCGAACUGCCCAGACCUACACCAAUCGCUAAUAGUAACGAGAAGAAAAAAGAAAGCUUGUAAGCUUAACUGAUGUGCGUGAUUGUUGGGAUCGUAAUUGCCGGG